rnacentral:rRNA from 1 species
AUGCUACCUGUUAUGAAGGCUGAGGCGAGCAUCAUGGAGAUGAGCAGGCGAGUGGCUGAUACAGAGAGCUCCUCGAACAGGGAAGAGGCAUUGCUGGAGGAACUCGAAGAUGAGCUAGUCAAUUUUGGUUCCGAAGUCAUGCCUUUGCCUUGCUAUUGUGCUGAUAUUGGAUGCAACAUUGUGGACCUUUGGUUCGAGCAUGCCAGCAUGGCCACGGAUUGUAGGGGAGGAAUGUAUUGCCUAAUGAGUUGUAUGCUUUCUUCGGAUCCUCUGUGCUUCCUAUCACAUCUAUCUUGGCCACCUACAAAUUCUUGGGUCCAGGUGAGCUCUCCCUCCACUCCAAGUUUUGCUUGA